UCAUAACACCUCGUCCUUGAGUGCAGGUGGGCCUGCGUUAAUUAGGCGAGCCCUUGUGAGAGAGGUCUAAAGAUAGAAGACAUGAAAGAGAUUCAGAGCUGCAGAAGAUGCUCUCCUGUUGUUCUGCAAGGGGCAGACUGCCAUAUGUGAGAGGCUCUAUGGAGAGGCCACACAGGAAGCAAGGACCUGCAUGCAGCCUCCAGGAGCUGAGAGCGGUCCCUGGCCAAAAGCUGGCAAGGAAUUGGAGACCUCAGUCCUACUGCCAUAAGGACAUGCAUCCUGCCAACAACCAGGGAUCUUGGAAUGAGAACAUAAGCCUCAGAUGAGAUGGCAGUCCCAGGUGACACCUUGAUUUCAGCCUGAGAGUUGAAAUUAAUUCUGACACAGGAAGCAAAAGUGGAAGUGAGAAACUAAUAAAGAGAUGACUGCAGUAUUCCAUGUGAG
rnacentral:lncRNA from 10 species